CAAUUGGUCGCAGGUUCGAAUCCUGCACGACCCACCAAUUUAACAUCAAACUCAGAUGUUGAACGUGAAGGAUAACGUUGCGUCAGCAACGGCCCGUAGGGCGAGGCGAAGCCGAGUCAUCCUGCACGACCCACCA
rnacentral:sRNA from 2 species